rnacentral:rRNA from 1 species
AACGGACGAGAAGCCUGCUUCUCUGAUGUUAGCGGCGGACGGGUGAGUAACACGUGGAUAACCUACCUAUAAGACUGGGAUAACUUCGGGAAACCGGAGCUAAUACCGGAUAAUAUUUUGAACCGCAUGGUUCAAAAGUGAAAGACGGUCUUGCUGUCACUUAUAGAUGGAUCCGCGCUGCAUUAGCUAGUUGGUAAGGUAACGGCUUACCAAGGCAACGAUGCAUAGCCGACCUGAGAGGGUGAUCGGCCACACUGGAACUGAGACACGGUCCAGACUCCUACGGGAGGCAGCAGUAGGGAAUCUUCCGCAAUGGGCGAAAGCCUGACGGAGCAACGCCGCGUGAGUGAUGAAGGUCUUCGGAUCGUAAAACUCUGUUAUUAGGGAAGAACAUAUGUGUAAGUAACUGUGCACAUCUUGACGGUACCUAAUCAGAAAGCCACGGCUAACUACGUGCCAGCAGCCGCGGUAAUACGUAGGUGGCAAGCGUUAUCCGGAAUUAUUGGGCGUAAAGCGCGCGUAGGCGGUUUUUUAAGUCUGAUGUGAAAGCCCACGGCUCAACCGUGGAGGGUCAUUGGAAACUGGAAAACUUGAGUGCAGAAGAGGAAGGUGGAAUUCCAUGUGUAGCGGUGAAAUGCGCAGAGAUAUGGAGGAACACCAGUGGCGAAGGCGA